rnacentral:rRNA from 1 species
UACGUAGGUGGCAAGCGUUAUCCGGAAUUAUUGGGCGUAAAGCGCGCGCAGGCGGCCUUUUAAGUCUGAUGUGAAAGCCCACGGCUCAACCGUGGAAGGUCAUUGGAAACUGAAAGGCUUGAGUACAGAAGAGGAAAGCGGAAUUCCACGUGUAGCGGCGAAAUGCGUAGAGAUGUGGAGGAACACCAGUGGCGAAGGCGGCUUUCUGGUCUGUAACUGACGCUGAGGCGCGAAAGCGUGGGGAGCAAACAGG